rnacentral:lncRNA from 7 species
GUACUCAUAAACUGGUCAGUUGUUUGAAAAGAGUAACCUGAUGAUUGACGUGAGCCUGUAAUAACAGCAGGCUUUGUCAGCAGCAGGACCUUUGCUUUGAAGCAGUGGUCCAGACGCCGCCUGCGCUAGCUGCGCCUAAUCUGAUCCGUGCUGAAUGCUGAGCAGACGACAUGGCAGCAGCAGGAUGAUAAAGCUGGAGCUGGCGAAGGAGGCCGGGGACAUGCACGGCCGCUGCAUCCCGCGGAAGGCCCAAGCGCAAGGACGACGACGGAUACCUGGUCAUCUCCUGCAGCGCGCAGGGGAAUAACAAGGGAUGACGCGGGGCCGUCUUGGUUCGUUGGUAGCUAGCGCAUGGCCAUCAUCAUGCGGCGCGGCGACGAGCUUAGGCUAGCUAGCUGGUCCCCCGGCGGCCGGCGAGAACGGCGACCUGGCGAGCGUGCAUGUGUGCCUUUCUUUCUUGCGUCGGGAACAGUAAGUAGAUGAGUGUCCACCACUGCUACUCCAGUUUGGUGUCGUCUGCUUUCUUUAGAUGCUCUGAUAGCGAUUGGUGAAAUGCCUGUGAUUUUACGUGUGAGCUAGCACCUUCAUGUCGAUACGUGUUACUGCGUGUCUGCCUCGUGCUCGUUCGUGGUCUGAGCUGUUUAGUGCCUACUGCCUAGUCAUCAUCUCAUUCUCUCUUUUUGUG